CAGGAGCUUGUCAUCUGUACCUCU
rnacentral:piRNA from 1 species